rnacentral:rRNA from 1 species
AGCAGCCGCGGUAAUUCCAGCUCCAAUAGCGUAUAUUAAAGUUGUUGCAGUUAAAAAGCUCGUAGUUGAAUUUCGGGGUUAGUAGGCUGGUCAUGCCACCGGUAUGUACUGGUCUUUCUGAUUCCUCCUUCCUGAUGAACUGUAAUGCCAUUAAUUUGGUGUUGCAGGGAAUCUGGACUGUUACUUUGAAAAAAUUAGAGUGUUUAAAGCAGGCUAACGCUUGAAUACAUUAGCAUGGAAUAAUGAAAUAGGACGUUCGAUCCUAUUUUGCUGGUUUCUAGGAUUGACGUAAUGAUUAAUAGGGAUAGUUGGGGGUAUUAGUAUUCAAUUGUCAGAGGUGAAAUUCUUGGAUUUAUUGAAGACUAACUACUGCGAAAGCAUUUGCCAAGGAUGUUUUCAUUAAUCAAGAACGAAAGUUAGGGGAUCGAAGACGAUCAGAUACCGUCGUAGUCUUAACCAUAAGCUAUGCCGACUAGGGAUCGGAUGAUGUUAAUUUUUUAAUGACUCA